CGUAUUUUCACGGAAACGUACGAACAUGUAUUGCUAGAUAUUUCAAAUUGACGUUUCUUCAAACAAAAACGUCACUUUUGACACUUGUUUGACACUGACAUAUCCAAUCCAUAUCGUUUCAAUAUCUAGUAUUUGACGUAUCUCAUUGUUCGAAUACGGCUGUAAAAGUGUACGUACUGAGGUUGACUGAAGUAGCAU